rnacentral:tRNA from 1 species
GAGGCUUUUAAAAGGUGAAAAGCACAACACUUUUAAUGUUGGGGUCAUGGGUUCGAACCCCAUGCGAAUCA